GUUUUUCCAAGUUCUUGAAAAAAUUUGGUCAACAAUUCACUUAAGUUACCGGUAAAUUAUGUAAUCACAUUAUUAAGUUUUAAUGCUAUUUUAUUUUGAUGCAUGUAUAACUUAUCCUGCAUACAUACCUGUCGAAACUGAAAUCCCCUCUAAACAUAAAAAAGUUUGAAGUCCAGUCAUAUGAAAUUUCAUGCGUUGUGAACAUGAUACUAAGUAGAACCAAACAUCUGCCAAAACCGGAGCUUUAAUUCCAGAAGAGGUUUGGUUUAGACAGAUUUCAAUGUAUUAACUAUUUUGUCUUUCAUUUUUGUAAAAUGACACUGAUUAACCAUUGUUUUAUUCCUGCUUCAAUAACUGAAUGUUCCAAAGAAAGGAGCUUUAAAGUGUAUACUGUGUUUGAAAAUGCCAUUUAAAUUUAGUGAACAAAAUAUCUGUUGAUAAAUAAAGGAACAGGAAUAGUUAAAAGUACAUGUCUGUAAUAAGAUAAUAACUAAUCAAUGCUAUUUUUGAAAGUGAUGUAAAAUGCUUGUUUGUGCAAUAUUGAAACUAUGGUCAGAG
rnacentral:lncRNA from 1 species